rnacentral:lncRNA from 1 species
AUAAAAUUGAGAAUGGAAAUGGGGAAUGUGCCAAAGAGACAACAACCCGACCAUAGAAAAAACAACAACAGCAGAAGGUCACCAACAGGUCUUCAAUGUAGCGAGAAAUUCCCGCACCCGGAGGCGUCCUUCAGCUGGCCCCUAAACAAAUAUAUACUAGUUCAGUGAUAAUGAACGCCAUACUAAUUUCCAAAUUGUACACAAGAAACUAAAAUUAAAAUAAUACAAGACUAACAAAGGCCAGAGGCUCCUGACUUGGGACAGGCGCAAAAAUGCG